rnacentral:rRNA from 1 species
ANUUGUUANUCAUCNUUAAUUCGGUUUAAAGGGUACCUANCCGGCAAAAUCAAGCCAAAGGCARAAGCAAAGCCACAGUAGGGACUAGUUUUCUAGAGUUUAAUGAAAGAAAGUCGAAUAUCUGGAGUAGAGAGACAAUAUUUCGAUACCAGAGAGACGGGUAACGGCGUAGGCAACUUUCUAUGUAAAAACUGACGUUGAGGGACGAAGCCCUGGGUAGCGAUAAGGAUUAGAUACCCCAGUAGUCCAGGGAGACAAUGAUGAAUGCCAUAAGCUAGGUAUAUUAGUUUAUAAAUGAAAGUGUAAGCAUUCCACCUCAUGAAUAAGGCGGCAACGCAUAAAUUGAAAUCAUUAGACCGUUUCUGAAACCAGUAGUGAAGUAUGUUAUUUAAUUCGAUGAUCCGCGAAUAACCUUACCACGUUUUGUAUAUUAUUUAAUUAAUACAAGCGCUGCCANGGCUGUCUUUAGUUAAAGURGUGAGNC